rnacentral:rRNA from 1 species
UACGGAGGAUCCAAGCGUUAUCCGGAAUCAUUGGGUUUAAAGGGUCCGUAGGCGGUUUUGUAAGUCAGUGGUGAAAGCCCAUCGCUCAACGGUGGAACGGCCAUUGAUACUGCAAGACUUGAAUUACUAGGAAGUAACUAGAAUAUGUAGUGUAGCGGUGAAAUGCUUAGAUAUUACAUGGAAUACCAAUUGCGAAGGCAGGUUACUACUAGUGGAUUGACGCUGAUGGACGAAAGCGUGGGGAGCGAACAGG